rnacentral:rRNA from 1 species
GACGAACCGUGCGAACGUUAUUCGGAAUCACUGGGCUUAAAGCGCGUGUAGGCGGGACGGUGCGUCGGCCGCUGAAAUCCCCCGGCUCAACCGGGGAAGGGGCGCCGAUACGACCGCCCUGGAGCGACGUAGGGGGAACUGGAACUUCCGGUGGAGCGGUGAAAUGCGUUGAGAUCGGAAGGAACGCCCGUGGCGAAAGCGAGUUCCUGGACGUCGGCUGACGCUGAGACGCGAAAGCGUGGGGAGCAAACAGG